UAAUGGCCUACCAAGGCGACGACGGGUAGCCGACCUGAGAGGGUGACCGGCCACACUGGGACUGAGACACGGCCCAGACUCCUACGGGAGGCAGCAGUGGGGAAUAUUGCACAAUGGGCGGAAGCCUGAUGCAGCGACGCCGCGUGAGGGAUGAAGGCCUUCGGGUUGUAAACCUCUUUCAGCAGGGACGAAGCGUGAGUGACGGUACCUGCAGAAGAAGCACCGGCUAACUACGUGCCAGCAGCCGCGGUAAUACGUAGGGUGCGAGCGUUGUCCGGAAUUACUGGGCGUAAAGAGUUCGUAGGCGGUUUGUCGCGUCGUUUGUGAAAACCCGGGGCUCAACUUCGGGCUUGCAGGCGAUACGGGCAGACUUGAGUGUUUCAGGGGAGACUGGAAUUCCUGGUGUAGCGGUGAAAUGCGCAGAUAUCAGGAGGAACACCGGUGGCGAAGGCGGGUCUCUGGGAAACAACUGACGCUGAGGAACGAAAGCGUGGGUAGCAAACAGGAUUAGAUACCCUGGUAGUCCACGCCGUAAACGGUGGGCGCUAGGUGUGGGUUCCUUCCACGGGAUCCGUGCCGUAGCUAACGCAUUAAGCG
rnacentral:rRNA from 1 species